rnacentral:rRNA from 1 species
AGAGUUCGAUCCUGGCUCAGGAUGAACGCUGGCGGCGCGCCUAACACAUGCAAGUCGAACGGUUAAGGCGCCCUUCGGGGCGCGUAUAGAGUGGCGAACGGCUGAGUAACACGUGGGCAACCUGCCCCCCGCACCGGGACAGCCUCGGGAAACCGUGGGUAAUACCGGGUACUCCGCCACCCCCGCAUGGGGGAGGCGGGAGAGCGUAUGCGGCGGGGGAUGGGCCCGCGGCCUGUUAGCUAGUUGGCGGGGCAACGGCCCACCAAGGCGAUUAUGGGUAGCUGGGUUGAGAGACCGACCAGCCAGAUUGGGACUGAGACACGGCCCAGACUCCUACGGGAGGCAGCAGUGGGGAAUCUUGCGCAAUGGGGGCAACCCUGACGCAGCGACGCCGCGUGCGGGACGAAGGCCUUCGGGUCGUAAACCGCUUUCAGCAGGGACGAGGCCGCGAGGUGACGGUACCUGCAGAAGAAGCCCCGGCUAACUACGUGCCAGCAGCCGCGGUAAUACGUAGGGGGCGAGCGUUAUCCGGAUUCAUUGGGCGUAAAGCGCUCGUAGGCUGCCCGCUAGGUCCGGGGUCAAAUCCGGGGGCUCAACCCCCGCACGCCCCGGAUACCGGCGGGCUUGAGUCGGGUAGGGGAAGGCGGAAUUCCAGGUGUAGCGGUGGAAUGCGCAGAUAUCUGGAAGAACACCGGUGGCGAAGGCGGCCUUCUGGGCCUCGACUGACGCUGAGGAGCGAAAGCUGGGGGAGCGAACAGGAUUAGAUACCCUGGUAGUCCCAGCC